rnacentral:rRNA from 1 species
GACGAACGCUGGCGGCGUGCCUAACACAUGCAAGUCGAACGGAACUGUUUUGAAAGUUUUCUUCGGAAUGAAUUUGAUUUAGUUUAGUGGCGGACGGGUGAGUAACGCGUGAGUAACCUGCCUUCAAGAGGGGAAUAACAUUCUGAAAAGAAUGCUAAUACCGCAUGACAUAUCGGAACCACAUGGUUUUGAUAUCAAAGAUUUUAUCGCUUGAAGAUGGACUCGCGUCCGAUUAGUUAGUUGGUGAGGUAACGGCUCACCAAGACCGCGAUCGGUAGCCGGACUGAGGGGUUGAACGGCCACAUUGGGACUGAGGCACGGCCCAGACUCCUACGGGAGGCAGCAGUGGGGGAGAUUGCGCAAUGGGGGCAACCCUGACGCAGCAACGCCGCGUGAAGGAUGAAGGUUUUCGGAUUGUAAACUUCUUUUAUUAAGGACGAAAAAUGACGGUACUUAAUGAAUAAGCUCCGGCUAACUACGUG